rnacentral:misc_RNA from 1 species
UUUGCUGGUAUUGUACUAGAUGAUGAAGGUUUAACAGGUACUCUUGCUAAGUUCUUGGUGGCGCCAAUGGGUAUCUUGUUGUUGCCCAUAGUAGGAGGAUGGCUAGUUUCUUCUGGCUUGGGCGGCACAGAGGAGGGCUCCUGCUUUUGUGACCUCAACAUAUCUUGAGCCCUCUCAAGAUCGCCUUCACAGAUAACUAUUGCUCUUUCGACUUCCUGCUUGGAGCAAUUAAAUCUAAUUUCCAUGUCCGCAAUGCGAG